AUUGAACGCUGGCGGCAUGCUUUACACAUGCAAGUCGAACGGUAACAGGUCUUCGGAUGCUGACGAGUGGCGAACGGGUGAGUAAUACAUCGGAACGUGCCUAGUAGUGGGGGAUAACUACUCGAAAGAGUAGCUAAUACCGCAUGAGAUCUACGGAUGAAAGCAGGGGACCUUCGGGCCUUGUGCUACUAGAGCGGCUGAUGGCAGAUUAGGUAGUUUGUGGGGUAAAGGCUUACCAAGCCUGCGAUCUGUAGCUGGUCUGAGAGGACGACCAGCCACAUGGGAAAAGAGAAGCGGCGCAGGCUGCCACCGGAGGAAGCAAAGGGGAAUUUAGGACGAUAGGCGUAGGCAUAAUCCAGACAUGUCGCGUGAAGAAAGAAGGCCCACGGAUUGUACACAAGUUUUGUAGGGACCGAAAUGACAGACGCCAAAAGCGCCGGGGCAAGAGGGAAACGUAGAAAUAAGCACCGGCAAACUUCGUA
rnacentral:rRNA from 1 species